rnacentral:rRNA from 1 species
UACGUAGGGGGCGAGCGUUGUCCGGAGUUACUGGGCGUAAAGCGCACGCAGGCGGUUUCGUACGUCUGGAGUGACAGUUCCUGGCUCAACUGGGAAAGGUCUUUGGAAACGGCGAGACUUGAGGGCUUCAGAGGGACACGGAAUUCCGGGUGGAGUGGUGAAAUGCGUAGAGAUCCGGAGGAACACCAAUGGCGAAGGCAGUGUCCUGGGAAGCAUCUGACGCUCAGGUGCGAAAGCUAGGGGAGCGAACAGG